AACACCGCCAACCUGUGGAAGUAGCGACACUUCGGACCUCCCCGCCAACCCUAUGAAUAUAAUUAGGUUAUUCAUCCACAAAUAUAAAGGGAUCUGGGCAACAAUGUGGCUUGCUGGAAACCGCUGUUGGAAGUGUCGUAAUAGAAAGAUUCCUCUUGGUGAAAGAUGACUUCCAGCUAUUUCAAAGGUCUGACCUAAGUAAAAUAAAUCAUAAUCCAUACAUGGAUUAUGGGAAACUUGUACCUUUUAACGGACAUCUAUACCGGUUAGACAAAGAACACAAGACUACCAUAAGGUGGCGUUGCACCGUAAAAGGAUGUAAAGAUCGUCUUAUUACCAGCGCCGUAUCUAGUGCGGAAGAUAUUCCAAGCGUAAGAGGGGAACAUUGCCACCUACCAGAUUCGUCAAAAGUUGAGGUCAAGGAAUUUCAUUCUCUAUUGAUAGAAAAAGCCGUAGCUACCGCAGAUGUUCAAUGCAAGAUUAUUCAGGAUGAGGUACAAACGUUUAGUC